UACGGAAGGCAGCAGGGGGGAAUAUUGCACAAUGGGCGAAAGCCUGAUGCAGCUAUGCCGCGUGUAUGAAGAAGGCCUUAGGGUUGUAAAGUACUUUCAUCGGGGAGGAAAAAACAAAACUAAUAAUUUUAUUUCUUGACGUUACCCGAAAAAGAAGCACCGGCUAACUCCGUGCCAGCAGCCGCGGUAAUACGGAGGGUGCUAGCGUUAAUCAGAAUUACUGGGCGUAAAGAGCACGUAGGUGGUUUUUUAAAGUCAGAUGUGAAAUCCCUGGGCUUAACCUAGGAACUGCAUUUUGAAACUGAAAUACUAGAGUAUCGUAGAGGGAGGUAGAAUUCUAGGUGUAGCGGUGAAAUGCGUAGAUAUCUGGAGGAAUACCUGUGGCGAAAGCGGCCUCCUAAACGAAUACUGACACUGAGGUGCGAAAGCGUGGGGAGCAAACAGGGAUUAGAUACC
rnacentral:rRNA from 1 species